UUUUUUUUUUUAUGUAUAAUAAUUAAUUUUAAUGUCUACGCUAUUCUCAUUUAAUUAUUUUUUUUAAAAAAAUUAUUAUUUAGUCUUUAUAGUAUGUGGGAACUCACUAAUUAUUUAAUUAGUUUCUCGAUUCUAAAAAAUAUAUUAAAAAAUUAUUAAUAUCUUAAAAAUGUUAUUAAUUAGUUUCUUUGUUAAUUUGCCGUUAAAUAUUUUAUUAUUUAGUAUCUAUAAUUUUAAAAAAUUUAAUAGUUAUUUUUUUAUAUUUUUAAAAAAUUUACUAAUUAGUCCAUUAUAUUAAAAAUAUUUUAGAUUUUUUUUAUAAUAUUUAAUGAUUAAAACUAAUAAAAGAAUUAAUUAAUAGAUUUUUUAAAACGUUAGAGAUAUUUUAAUAUAUUUUUUAAUAUAUUUUUCAACAUUGCGUGAAUUUUUUCGCAUUAUAAAAAUUAAAUAAUAAUUUAUCUAAAUUUUAAUACGAAUAACAAGCAUGAAAGGUAAAAUUAGUAUUGAGUGUGAAAUUAAUUACUUAAUUCGUUUAUUUUCAAUAAUAUGUUAAUUAGUCAUUGUCCUAAUUAUUUAGUCCACCCAUUUUUUAAAUUAUUAAUUUUGUAUGAAAUAACUAAAUUGCCCUUACUUUUAAUUAAUGCAUGCAAUUCUAAAGUAUAACUAUUCGGUUCAUAUAAUUUCAAAAUAAAAUUAUUUAAUUCUAUAAUUUUAAUACUAUAAUUAUUUAGUCUAAUAUAAUUUAAAAUUAUAACUAUUUAAUUUUUGUAAUUCACAAGAGAGAAUAAAUAAUUUCUUUUAUUUAACUCCCUCAUUAUAUCUAUCUUAAAAAUAUUAAAUUUUAUUAAAUAUUAAAAUAUUUUUAAAAAAUAAGAUAAAAUUAAUUAAAAUUAUAAUAAUUAAUUUAUAUAUUAUUAUAAUAAAAAAAUAAACUAUAUUUAAAAAAAAAAAAAGAAAAUAAACAACUAACUGCUAUUAAAAUCACUAACGUCCUCAACAUGGCCAUAGUGUUUUUAAUGGAUUGGAUUAAUAUGACUUAGAUAUCAUAGUAUAUUUUAAAAUAAUAUAAAAGGAUAAAUUACUAGAUUAUUCUUGAGCAAUGCCAUAAUUAAUAAUUUUGAUUUUUAUAUUUUUAAAAAUUCAUUAAAAUAUUUUUAAAUUGUGAUUUCAUUAAAUUUUUUUAUUUAAUUAUAAUAUUAUAAAAAUUUAUUAUUUAAUCUUUCAAUUUUAAAAAAUAUAUUAAAACAUUCUUAAUAAUUUAAAAAUUUAUUAAUCCGUUAUUCUAUUAAUUUUAAUCAUUACGAAUUUUACUCGUUCAUGAAAAUUUAUUUAAAAUUUUAAAUAUAAAUUAUUUUCUACAAUUUGUUCAUGUGGUGGAAUCAUGGUGUCUUAAUUUUGGUAAUUGAAUUCAACAAGUUAAUUAUUCAACUUAAUGAUUAUUAUAGAUAAGCCCACUAAACCUUUUUGGUUUCGUAAACUUAAAGGAUCAAUUAUUAAAUUAAAAUCACCAUUAAUAAUGUGAUUAUGCCCAAAGAUUUUCCCAAUUAUUAAGAACAGGAUUACAUCUCUUUCAUAAUUUUUAUUUAUUUUAAUUUUUUAUAUAUAUUAAAAAAUAUAAUAUUUUCAUUAAUUUUUUAAUUAUAUCUAUUUUAAAUAUAUUAAAUUUUAUUAAAUAUUAAGAGAUAUUUUAAAAAUAAAAUAUAUAAAUUAUUAUAGUCUAAUAAUAAUAAUAAUUUUAAAUAAUUAAAAAAUAUUAAAAAUUUAUAAAAUGACUGAAGUAAAUAUGUGUAUGAAAAAAAAAAAAUCAUCUUGACAACUCAACUUUGAAUAUGAGUGAUGACAAGGAGAGUGUUUCAAACCAAAUUAUAAAUUUUAAAAAUAAAUUUAUUUAUUUAUUAUAUUUUUUAACUUAUAUUUUAGUUUGCCAAAUUAAAAAAAAUGAAAAUCAGAGUUUUAUUUUAAUGUUUAUAAACAGUGUAUUUGGAAGCUCAUUUGAUAACGUAUUUUUAUUAUAUUUGAUAUUUCUCCACUUUGGACUGGGGCAGGCCCAUAUCGUGAACCCAUCAUUUGGGGGAGGAGUUCAAGGCCUUCCCUGUGAGACUGGUUCAACCCGUUCCCCUCCAGAUCAGACUCCAAACAAUUUCCUCAAUCAGGCCGGCUUAACCUCUUAGGCCCGAUGAAUAGAUUCUUUUUGAACUCGGCCCGUGACUUAUCUUCCAGUCCAGUCCGGAAUCAGGAGGGAGACCCACCUGUCCGUCACGUGGGUCCAUACGCAUACGCGCCCGAGGAGAAUCAGGGACCGUUACGCAUGGGGCAGAGAUCUGAUUCUCUCGUACGUCCGUAUCAACGUAGUAGGGGCAGGUGGUCCAAUGAUAUACGUUCUGUUAACACGUCACUAGCAGACAAAAGAAAACAUAUAAAAUGAGAAAUACUCUCCUCUAGAAAGAAGGCUUUUUCCUAUUUUACAGAAUCCAUUGUAAAAUCCUAUUUUCUAAAUCUCAUAUUAUCAAUAUUUUUUUAUCAAUUUUAAAAUUGCACACAUAUUUUUUAAUAUUAUUUUUAAUAAUUAUAGCAAUGAAGAUGCUUACAAACUAUUUUUUACUGCACAUGCCAAUAACUUAUAAACAUGUUUACUUGUUUAAAAAUUUUAGAUGCUUAUAAAAUUAAAGGAAUUAUCAUUUAGUUUCUUGUAAUAUAAAAAUCUCACUAAUUAAUAUUUUGAUUUUAAAAAAUAUAUUAAAAUAUUUUUAAAAUAAUAUUUUAAAAAAUAAAUUAAAAAAAACAGUGAUGCACGGAAAAAUUCCAACUUAAGAGUUACAAAUUUUAAGUCGUAAGUAAGGCAGUAUUAGCAAUUGGUUAAUCCCAAGUCAUUUUUAAUAAUUUUAGAUGGUCAAUCCAACCAGAUACAAAACUGGGGUUUGGUUUGAUCUUAAAUUACUCAUAAUUGAUUAAAAGAAUACAUUAUGGAAUAACCCUUAGCAUCACCUAGAGACACAUCUCUGAGUUUCGCUCUUAUCUUACCUUUUAGAAAGGAUUUAUCCAUUUGAUAUUAUUCAAAUAUUUAUUAGAGCCUGGUAAAUUUUAAGGCUCCACUAGGUUGGAAGAAAAAAAACAAUAUUUUUACAUUUUUUAAUGUAAAUAAAUUAGUUAAUAAAAAAAUUUUACUAACUUUUUAAAAAAAUAACUUUCACUUUUCCAAAAAUUAUCAUUUUCUAUAUUUUAAUAAUUUUACUAAUAUCAUUAUAUAUAUAAAUAUAUUAUUAUUAUUUUUUAUUUUUUAAAAUAAAAUUAAAUAAUAAAAAAAUAAAUUAUUUUAUUAAAAAGUACUUUUCACAAAAAAAAUUUUUCACAUAAAUUAUUUUUCAUAAUAUUUUUCAAAUUGCAAGGUUCAUUUAGUUUCAAAAACAUUUUUUAUAUCGAAAAAUGUCUUUUUUUUCAGGAAAAGUGGAAACCUCGAUCCUAAACAACCUAUUAAUGAACUCAAUUAACACGAAACUCCUCUCUACUUCCUACCCAGUGUUUUACGCUUCUUUUUUCCAUUAGAUGAAAAUGGACAUGAAAGCAUAAAGCCCAAGACAAAGCUGAAUUGAGCCCCAAUGUUAGUAAGAAAGCUAGGAUCUUUCUUAGCUUUAAAUGCUAUGGAGCCUGCAGCUUUGUUCAUAUAUCUUCGGACAUGGCAGAAAGACACUUGUUGACAAUUCUGCUUGAGCUGGUUGAUAUCCCAAAUGAUCCCACAGAUAGAUGAUGGAAAAUUUUACUUGGAGAGAGUCACCCUCCAGCAUAACUGUGCUUAACCCCUAUCCAUAGCCAUUAUGAUGGCCUACUGGCAAGCUAAGGCUUCUAACACGAGAGUCUGUGAUACCAGGAACAGCUUUAAAACACCAGAACAACAGAUGACCUGCAGAGUUCCUAGCUAUUAUAGCUAUGAAUCCACAUCUCCUAUUCACAUCAUCCCAACCAGCCUUCAUAUCUCCACAGACAAUACCCAAUGUCUAGACUUGUGGAUCUUUCAUAAAAUCUAUUUCAUUUCUUUUUUCAGUAUCAUUCUUCUUAAGGCCGAAACAAAAGGUCCCGACCCGCGCCAACCUCAUUUGGCCUUCGGGUGAUUCUUUACCAAUUAAAACUCAAACACAAACAAAAGCAAGUAUACGAUAAAAGCCUCAAACAUCAAAUUCCAGCAACCUUUUCCAUUUGAGCGAAUUUACAAGAUGAUAUACCAAGUUAGAUUUCUGAUCACAUUCAUCCAUAGUAAAGCCUUCCAAAUUCCACUAAUGUCAGCUCACUCUUGACAAGGUAUAGGCUCUGGGUGAUGCCUUAGAUCAAGAGCUCUGGAUUAUAAAUUGGAUCAAAGAUGCAGAAAGUCUACACUGCACAUUUCUUCUCUCUUUGUGGGGGGCUGGGUUCUGGAUUGGGAGUUUAACCAACCAAGAAGGCACAUUUGUGUGUGUGCACAUGUAUCCAUGCGUCAGUGUUGAGGGAUGAUAAUGGAUAAUGGAAGAUAAUCUUCCAACAGUGUACAUAAACCAUUGAAAACAAUAACCUCCUAAUGCUCAUGCAUGCUCAUCUUACGAAUUGAUCUCAUUGUCCCAACUUCUAGCUUAACGCUAGUAAAAAAGUCAAAAGUUAUAUCAAUUGCAUUGAUAUUGCUAAAACAAAGCAUUACAUGUAAUAUGCCUUCCUCCAAUAUUCAACAUAACUGGGUGCUAGUUACAAGCCAAUCUUUCAAUUGCAACAUAGGUACAAGUGAUUGCAAAGAGCUAUGUGAAUAACUGCAAUUUAGUGAACACUUCACUGCAACCCAUUUCUCCAGUUUAAAAAAAACCAUUUGAGAAGGAAAACUUAAAAUUUGUUACAUUUCCUCGAAUAUCUUAAGUUUAUAUGAUCUUUGAUCACCAAAAACGAUCAACAGAGACUGGAGUGGAGUACCUCUCACAGUAAUAGAAACCCAGAAACAUUAGCCUUAACUAAUCAGGGAUGUGCAUUGCAAAUCUCAGUUUCAUUUCCAUUGCCAUAAACCUUAGGUAGCCUUUCCACCGCAUUCAUGACUAGCAUUUUGCUAAGCAAGCUAAAGCUACACUUGAUGACGAAUACAAGCACAAUACACUAUAACAUCUAGCAUCUAUACCCUAACACUUAUUCUCCAAAUGAAUCACAUUUGCUCUUUUUCUAUCAUCAUCAUGCUCAGUGCUUCAUCCUAGAUUAAUGUUCAAGAAAGUUGCUGGAGUGGAACGAUUUUACCUUCUUUUUUUUGAAAAAAAAAGGAUAAAAUCUUUAAAAAAAAAAAGAAAAUCUAACAUUACUCAUAAUUUGCUCCUUGUAUCCCUCCAUAGUUAUCUAAGCACUGAGGAUUAUUAAUUCAGAAUUCACAACUAUUCCAAAAUCACGCCGCCCCGAGGGAUGCAAAGGAGAGAUAGAGGUUUGGUUCUACUAAAAGAUAAAUAUAAAUGAGCUGAUAAUCGCAAGGCUACUAAAUUCAUAGCAUUUCCCUACUAGAAAAACUAAGAACAGAUAAAGGAAUUGUAAUUUUAUUACUUAAAAAGCUGGGAAAAUUCAAGAGCUUGUAGAAUUGAAAUCUAGGUGAAAUUCAAGUCCUGAGAAGUGAGAAGAAUCAUAAAUCACACGAACAAACAAAAAGAACCUUCUAAAUCUGUGCGCUUUUAUAAUUGAUAGUAAUAGUUUUCAUACAACUAUCAAACAACACGAAAUCACACCACAAAUUAAAGGGAAAAAAACCCUCAGAUUUCACCCGAAAAAAGAAAGAAAAAAAAACUGUACACAAGUGGGGGAAUUAUGUUUAAAUCACCGAGAAUUAAAGCUAUUUAGCAGGCAGAGACGACAAGAGGCUAGCGAUGUUAUCUUGCUGCUCUUGAAACCUUCGCUUGAGGUAGGUCUCGAGGAUCUCCAUAACGGAGACGAAUCGCUUCAUUUCCUCAAGCCGGCGACUGAGCUCGGCCUCACGAGCCCUGGCUCGUUCAAGGCGAGCCUCGGUCUCGGCAAGGCGGCCCCGUAGAUCUUCUACUACAGAUGUGUUAUUGUUUCGGGAUCGGGGGUUUCGUGAAGGGAUUAGGUCAUCUGACGAUAAGGAGCGUUGGUGACCGUAGCACAUAGUUAGAAACGGUGCAAGAUUCAAGAGCCGGUGGACGGUGGCUGCUCAGGGAGCGAAGAGAAAGGGAAUUUUGCCUGCCCUAUCCGUAUCACAAUUUCAGGGAAUUUUUUUCAGGUUAGGGGCUGUAACUAGGGCUCGCCAUGGUCCGGUUCGAACUAUAAAAUGGACCGGAACUGAUCUGGUUAAAUUCAGAUCAAACCUAUAAAAUGGUUUUGAUUUUGAAUUGGACUGAAGUUGCCUACUAGGGAAGCUGGUUCGGUCCUUCCUCCUUGC
rnacentral:lncRNA from 1 species